UGUCCUACGGGAGGCAGCAGUGGGGAAUAUUGGGCAAUGGGCGAAAGCCUGACCCAGCGACGCCGCGUGAAGGAUGAAGGUCUUCGGAUUGUAAACUUCUUUGAUCAGGGAAGAAAGAAAUGACGGUACCUGAAAAACAAGCCACGGCUAACUACGUGCCAGCAGCCGCGGUAAUACGUAGGUGGCAAGCGUUGUCCGGAUUUACUGGGUGUAAAGGGCGUGUAGGCGGGGAUGCAAGUCAGAUGUGAAAUCCCGCGGCUCAAACGCGGAACUGCAUAUGAAACUGCGUCUCUUGAGUGUCGGAAGGGAAAGUGGAAUUCCUAGUGUAGCGGUGAAAUGCGUAGAUAUUAGGAGGAACACCGGUGGCGAAGGCGACUUUCUGGACGAUAACUGACGCUGAGACGCGAAAGCGUGGGGAGCAAACAGGAUUAGAUACCCUUGUAGUCAU
rnacentral:rRNA from 1 species